rnacentral:lncRNA from 1 species
UAGAAACUACAUUUAAUGUUUGAUUAAAAAAACCUGUUUAUUCUAUAGGAAACUAGUUUGAAUAAUUUUUGAAUUCUUCCUUCCCUUCGUGCAUUUUUUUUAAAGUUAAAGAUGGUCAAAAACGUGCAAGUUUGUUAGACAACAUUUGAAUUUCAGAAUAAAGUAGCAGCCCCUCCUUUCUAUGAUGUCCGGACCACCACGGACAGAGCCGAAGCUCACCGAACCAACACUACUGUCUACUGAGUCUGCGUCACUCUGGUGGUGAGCAGCAAAGAUUAUAGCUACCUUUUCUAAAACAAAAUGAAAGUUUUCGAACAGUUGGAAUUCAUCAACAUGGACGUUAGGAUGGCUGGACCGUCACGUUAACAGGAAACUCCUGGGAAACGCCCGCUUUUUAUCGUGCUUGCUAUUUCCAACACACAACACCUGCAGAGAGGCCAGAGGAGGCGUGCGGCUGCUGGAGCCAGGGAGAUGACUCCAGACUCUGACAAACAACCGCAGUGACUUUUCCCCCAUCA